rnacentral:rRNA from 1 species
AUUGAACGCUGGCGGCAUGCCUUACACAUGCAAGUCGAACGGUAACAGGUCUUCGGAUGCUGACGAGUGGCGAACGGGUGAGUAAUGCAUCGGAACGUGCCCAGUAGUGGGGGAUAGCCCGGCGAAAGCCGGAUUAAUACCGCAUACGACCUGAGGGUGAAAGGGGGGGAUCGCAAGACCUCUCGCUAUUGGAGCGGCCGAUGUCAGAUUAGCUAGUUGGUGGGGUAAAGGCCUACCAAGGCAACGAUCUGUAGUUGGUCUGAGAGGACGACCAGCCACACUGGGACUGAGACACGGCCCAGACUCCUACGGAAGGCGGCAGUGGGGAAUUUUGGACAAUGGGCGCAAGCCUGAUCCAGCAAUGCCGCGUGCAGGAAGAAGGCCUUCGGGUUGUAAACUGCUUUUGUCAGGGAAGAAAUCUUCUGGGUUAAUACCUCGGGAGGAUGACGGUACCUGAAGAAUAAGCACCGGCUAACUACGUGCCAGCCGCCGCAGUAAGAC